AGCAGUUAAGUGAACAAAUGAAGUGUCCACAGUCAUUGGAUGGUUGCUUGGUAGAGGUACAUGCUAAUAACUAAUAAGAUUUCCUGUGCAGGGUAUCAUUGUUUUUGCAUGACUGAUGGCUACCUUGGGGCUGGAGAUUUUGGUUGAAUCUGCCUCAAGUGUUAUUUUGAAGAUGAUAUUAUCAUUUGACCUUGCUUUUGCUUUGAUUCCGCUCCUAAAGUUCAGUAGCAGCAAAGUGACUAGCAGCACAAGCAUUGAAGAGAGAUUGCAGGGAUUCCAAGGGAAGGGGACCAGGGGAUGAAAAAUAUGAUUAAAGAGAGUUCUUGAGGAGUUUGUCACAUGCUCAGGGAAGUGGAAGAUUUUGCACGAAGGUUAAAUUCUGCUUGGCCUGAAAGGAUGCAAAUUUGAUCUUUGGCCCAACACAGAAGACUAGUAACAAUUUCUAUGAAUAGCAAUGGUUCAACGCAGCUGUAUAUAGGUAUGUUCUAUCUAUCUUCUCAAUAUUCGCGGUGAACCCUACUUGCUGCCUUGUUUUCUAUCAGAAGCAUCAUUAAAUUUUGUUGACAUGCACAUGACUGGAAUCAACUAGUUAUAAGUUACUUCAUCACUCUCAUGCAUUUCAUUCAUCACAUACAACACUCUCUCCAAAGUUCAAAUUAAGACUGAGGGGUGAGAAAGAGACAAUUAAUAUGGG